GUAAUAUUUAAUAUUAUAAAUAUCGUUAUUUUAAAUGGAAAACAUCUGUGAAACGUGUAAUGACUAAGAGGCAUUUUUGGAUCACAGAGUUUAAGAUUUACAGUUAGAGACUUAAAGAGGUUAGGGAACUACCUAGUAUUCGUCUAAUAGAUUCGCCUAUGUUUAUAAUGUAUAUUACUGAAGUCGCUCACUAUUUUAUUAUAAUAUAUCUAAAUAAUAUUAAAUUUUUUAUGGCCAAUUUAUAAUAUUAUACACUGUCCUUCACGUGUAUAAAAUUAUUAUUAUGAGUUAAUAUUUGCGUGUAACUUAUGUGAAAUCAAUCGUCACAUUAAGUAGUCACAUGUAAGGGCCAUUAAUACGCAGAGGGUGAGGAGGGAUUAAUAAUUGUUUUGUAAAUAAAAAAUUGUAUAUAAUAAAAUGCGGAUGAGGUUUAGGUGAGUGUUUGAUUGUUUCCUUUUAUAUUUGGUAUGUUGGGCCUAAUUUAACCGUUUAUCAAAAAAAAAAACUCUUAAGUAUUUAGUUACAUUCUAUUUGGCAUAUGUAUGUUAUAGAAAGAAAAUUGAGGGCAUUCAUUUUGACUAGAGCAAAAUUUAUUUAAACUGAUUUGUUUUCAUUUAUUUUAUUUUUCUAUUUAUGAGUCCAAUUUGAAAUUACGUUAAAGUAGUAUUGUAUAUCGGAACCAUUUAUGUUUGAAUAUUUAUUUGAUGCUAGUAUAGCUUUAUUAUCGGUAUAUGCUACUAAAGUUGUACGGCAAAUUUUAGGGAAUGUAUAUAAAUAUUACAAAUGAUAGGUGAAAGGCCGCUUCCUUGGUGUAUUAUAGCAUUGAUUUUUAGUGUGAAGGAAGUUAUAAUUAAUAUGAUGACUGUUAAAAAUUUGUCUUUAAGAAAUAAUUUUAGAGUGAGAAAAUAUUGAAUAGUUUUGAAAAGAUUUUAGGAUUUUAAGAACGAAGUUUGUGUGAUAUUGAGAAAAGAACCUUGAAAAUGUAUUUAUUUUCGAAUGAUAAUAAUAGUCUGUCAAUAACUCUAUGAAUUUGUGAAUUCGAGCGGAAAUCGGAUUGGUUAUUAGGUAAGAUUUUAUUUUCGUUGAUGAUAAACGUUAUUAGGCUAACUGGACAACAUGAAGACACUAGAUGUUUUGGUUUUACUGGUUUGAAGAUUAAAAUAAUAGUUGAGAAUUACUAUAUUGGAGGAUUGUAAGAUAGAUUAAGCGUUGAAUUGUAAAUGUGAGUUUGCUAAAGAAGGUUUGUACGUUUUGGGUAUAGGUAUGAUAUAUUUGGGUUUACGUCUGAAUAUCUUUGGAAAAAAUGUGGUUUCCAAAUAGAUUGGUUUUUUCGCCUAUAUUUAUUUAUAUUUAAUUUGUAGAAAAUAAUGACUUAAGAUUAUUAAAUUAUUAUUAAUUUUUUUUUUAGGCUGAUAAUACAGGCUGUCCCACAAAGAUAUACUCCUUAAAUAUCUCAUUAUCGCGUAACGCGGUUAAGUUAUUCCCCAAAGGUGGCCAAAAGUCUCGCAACAAAUUUGCAACACAAUUUUUAUAAAACUGUUGUGUUUUAUAUUAAAUAUGUUGUUUUUUUAUAAACCUUGCUGUUGUUGUACGUAAACAAGAUAACGAGACCAAUGUUGCAAUAUGACGUAACGGAAACGACGUGGAGGGAGAAACUGCGCCGUAACGCGCGUUCCAUACAAGACGGUGGGAGUUGCGUGACUUUUGGCCACCUCUGUACCGCUAAUUGAUUAUUAUUGUUAUGGCUAAUUGACUGUACGUUUUUUUUCUAUGGAAUUUAAAAAAUAUUAAAAAUCAGGAAAUUAAUAAAUAUAAUAAGAUUAAACGUUAACAUUUUUAAAAACAUAAACUUUAAAAAAUGGCUAUCUUUAAAUUUUCCAAAAAUAAUAAAAUAGAGUUAGUUUUUUAUUUUAUUAUUAAAAAAAAAAAAAAAAAAUUCAAAUAUAAAUAUUUGUAGUCCUCAUUCCCGUGAGUAAAAUAAAAGCAGAAUUUGGUAAUAUUUAUUAUCUCCGGAGAUGUUCAAGGGGUAUGUAUGAGACAGACUGUAUUUUUAUUAUAUCUUUUAAUAAACAAAGAAUACAAUAAAAUAUCACUUAAUUUAAAACAUUCUCGUCCAGUUUAUCAUUUUUGUUUAGACUCACCUAUUAUUCGUUAUUCGGUGUUAUCAUACUAAC
rnacentral:lncRNA from 1 species